rnacentral:tRNA from 1 species
ACAUCUCCUGAAUGCAACCCAGAUACUUUCAUUAAGCUAGGAUCUC